rnacentral:rRNA from 1 species
GUGGGGAAUCUUCCGCAAUGGACGAAAGUCUGACGGAGCAACGCCGCGUGAGUGAAGAAGGUUUUCGGAUCGUAAAGCUCUUUCGCUAGGGACGAACGUGCUCUUUGUGAAUAAUGAGGAGUAAUGACGGUACCUAAAUAAGAAGCCACGGCUAACUACGUUCCAGCAGCCGCGGUAAUACGUAGGUGGCAAGCGUUGUCCGGAAUUAUUUGGCGUAAAGCGCGCGCAGGCGGGAUAUCAAGUCUGUCUGUAAAGUGCGAGGCUCAACCUCGUGAGGGAACAGAAAAUGGUAUUCUAGAGUGUCGGAGAGGAAAGUGGAAUUCCAAGUGUAGCGGUGAAAUGCGUAGAGAUUUAGAAGAACUCCAGUGGCGAAGGCGACUUUCUGGACGAUGUCUGACGCUGAGGCGCGAAAGCUAGGGGAGCGAACGGGAUUAGAUACCCGAGUAGUCC